ensembl:lncRNA
AUGAUACAACCCUUUUUUUUUUUAAAUAGUGAUCAAAUUCCAAUUGCAAUUAAUGUUAUUAACAAAUUUUCUUAUGCCUCUGGUCUCUAUCUCGAUGUCAGUAAGUGUGAGCUAAUGGCUGUUAAAGACUGUGAUUUAACAAGUAUUAGUAACAUUCCUGUCAAGGAGAGUGUUACAUACUUGGGUAUCAUUAUUGUUAAAGACCAACUUAAAAGAUGUUCUUUGAAUUUCAACCCCAUAAUAGACAAAACCAAAAAAAAAUUUAAUUUCUGGCUUCAAAGAGAUCUCUCCUUAAAGGGACGAGUUCUUCUUACUAAAGCUGAAGGUAUAGCCCGACUAACAUAUGCAUCCUUAUCUUUGUAUCUUGAUAACCUUACUAGUAAAAAUAUUGAUAAAAUACUAUUUGAUUUCUUAUGGAAAAAUCGCACACACUAUGUAAAAAAGACUGUAAUUAUGAACUCAUAUGAGAAUGGUGGCCUUAAUUUUCUAGAUUUCACCACAAUGAACCAUACCUUUAAGAUUAAUUGGAUUAAGCAUCACUUAAAAAACCCCACUUCUGUUUGGAAUUUUAUCCCUCAUUAUGCUUUUUCAAAUAUUAGUGGUCUUAGUUUUGUUUUGUUGUGUAAUUAUAAUGUAGAUAAAAUUCCAGCUAAGUUAUCUGCUUUCCACAAACAAGUGCUUUUAUCUUGGUCGUUAAUAUACAAGCACAAUUUUUCUCCGCAUCGCUGUUUCAUCUGGAAUGACAGAAACAUUCUUUAUAAACACAAAUCUCUUUUUUUAAAGAACUGGUUUGAAAACGAUAUUAAAUUGAUUAGUCAGUUAUAUAAUAAAGAAGGAACACUCUUUUCUUAUGACGAAUUCCUUUCUUAUUAUAAAAUACCAGUCACUCAAAAAGAAUUUGCAAUCGUUUUUGGUUCAAUCCCUUCUGGUACACAAAUGCUAUUUAGAGGUAUAGAUAAAGACCAUUCUCCUGGUUCAGUAUCUUUUGAUGUUACUAAAUCUUAUGUUGGUAAAAUUUGUUUUUCAUCAUACCCCAAGAGUAAUAAUAGAGCUAUUCGUACUCUUUUCCAAAAAGAAAUUUUUACUGUGCCUUAUAUCUUGUCUCGCUGGGCCUCCUCAUUAAAUGGAAAUUUUAUUUGCUGGAGGAAAGUGUGGUUAUUACCACAAAAAUAUCAUCUUAGAAAUAAAAUUAAAGAAGUUUCUUAUAAACUUAUUCAUAGAUUUUAUCCAGCAAGUCAUUACUUACAAAAAUUUAAAAAAGGUAUAAAUAUAAAUUAUACUUUUUGUAAUGAAUAUGAGGAAACUGCCAUGCACUUAUUUUGGAACUGUGCAUAUUCAGUUACACUAUGGGGUAAGGUCCAAGAGUUUAUUAGGGAGAAUAUUCAGUGUUUAAAACAUUUUUCACUGUUAUGGGAAAAUAUACUUUUUGGUUUAACUGACUAUCCUGAUGAUAAAGAACAGUGCUUUUAUUUAAUUAAUUUAUUUAUUCUGUUGACCAAAUUUCACAUUCAUAAAUGUAAAUUUAGCAAUAAAAAACCCAAUUUUAUGGUUUUGUUAACUGAAAUAUGUAUUUAUAUUGACAGUAUCAGAGACUCUGUGAACAAAAAAGCUGUAAGAACUUUGAAAAUUUGUACAUUUUACAAUUUGUUUAUUUGA